UCAGAAACUGCUACUCAAGUGUACCCUCCUGGUUCUAGGGUUCCAUUGUGGUGACAACAAAUUACAAGCAGCUUACUUCCUCAGAGCCCAUCACUACCAACACCAACUGACAGCUUCGAGAAGGACCUCAGUACCACUUUCCCUAACCAAAAUUUUCCUCUUUACUCCAAGCCCUGACAAGGAUAAAUCUCUAAACUUUAGAAACAAUGUAAUUUUACAAAUUAACUUAUACGCAGGGUUACUUCCUUUCCAAUUUGAUCAGGGAAUGCAGGGCAAGAAUAACCCAAAAUAUGCAAUGUAAAUCAUGUUGAAAUUAAAAUGUAUUUCCAUCUCCACCCCUCCACGAUGGCAUAAUUUCAAAUCAACUUAUAUAAUGCAUAUCUAGUCCUCUGAAAAAUCAUUUUUAAAAGUAGGGCUGUUAUUAUUCUGUCCUAGCUAUCGCAGAUCAAUUUAGAUUUGUUCUGUAAGAUUUCAGAUUUUCCCCAAAUGACACAGGUGGUUAUUUUAUAUGUAUCAGUCAUUAAAAGAUUAAUCCUUUUUAACUAAAAAGAGACAGUACGGUCAUUUACAAGUUAAAGUAGAUUUAUUCUGAGCUGGUGCUCUGGGGUCUUACUUCUCUAAAAUUUUGUGAUUUACAAUACACCACAUGUAGGAAACAGCUUCCAAAAUUUGUAUUGCUUCCUACAAAUCAGACAGGACUUUCAGGAGAAGGAGCCUAGGAUAGAUUCUCUGUUAAAUUUUGGAAUCCCUUCUCUCAAGAGUAACCUACUAUAAACUAUUUACCAAGCCUUUGUGAAAUCUGUAUAACAGGUUACUACUCCAUUGAGCAAGAAAACACAGGAAACAGGAUUCGAAGAUUUAAUGUUACUGCUCAUACUCCAAAUUAUAGAAUGCUUAAGAUAAUUAAAUUAUCUGACUUUUAUAAUUCACUACACGGUGACCUCAAAUUUACCUCAUUAGAAUAUUUAGUACUUCUGCACUUCUCCCACUUCUCAAAGUUUUCCCAUACCAGGAUUCCCCACCACCUAGGAACAGCCUUUGCAAGAUACCAAUGCUCUCUAAAUCCCCAAAGCAGGGUCUAUUUCCUGAUCGAACAAAGAGCAACAAAGAAGUGGGUGGUAACCACCUCUCUGAGGCAAGCCAGGACCCAUGGAGUCUGAUCUACAACACAAGCAGUAGCAGUUCCACAUCUCCCUACCACCUCUUAUUUCCUACGAAGUCUUUCUGCCUGAAACUGGAAAACCCGAACUAUUAUUGAGGAAGUGAAGCCCUUCCAUUUGAAUCCUGAGAAAGACGCGCUCAAAGAACCCAGCGAACAAAGGAGAGGGUUGGAGCCCACGCAAAACAUGGGUGUGAUAAAGCCACACGCGACCUGAGCCCCCACCCUCAGUAACUACUCUCCAGCGCCCACCGGGAGGAGGGGUCCGGGGAAAGGAUUGGCAUCCUCUGCUUCUGCAGAAAACAUGGCUACCAACAGCUUCUGUAUCCACCUGCGGAGGAGACUGACUGCUCUGUUAUUCCCCCAGCAUCUGUGAAGAGGCUCUGACUGGCUAAAGUGAAGGAGUCUGUAGCUUUAGGGGAAGACAGAGCCACAAGAUGGAAGGAGCUUGGAUGUCUGAACUAUUCCAUGGAGAAAAGCUGCAGCCAACGAAGAACACCUGCAAUGGACUCUUAACCUGGGGGUGACGACAACCACUGAAAUAUGCUGCAUCUUAGUCCAGGGAUUUUUAAAGUGUGGUUCCUGGAAGAGCUGGAUCAGAGUCAUCUGUGUUGAUGGUUUAACAUAAAGAUUUUCGAGCCCCAAGACUCAAGUAGGACAAGGAAUUUGAAUUUUUAAGCAGCUCACCUGACUUGUCUGUCCUCUAAUGUCUGAAGACAUCUGACCUCUGCUCUUUCAGUAAAAGCAACAAUGGUUUUAUGAGCAUUGUCGUCACAUCUCUCCACUCAAGGGAUCCUUCUCAUUUCUCCCAGCUGAGGUCACCCACAGCUGCUGCUUCUAACUGCUGGCUUCCAGCCUGCUGUCUGCCAGCUGGCUCUACCCUCUCCUAUAACACGGCAGAGAGUAGCUGUGGUCUCCUGCGUGCUCACCCUCUGCUCCCUUGGUCCUGCUCCAUGCUUUGGUCCUGCACUUAAAUUUUACAAGCAUACUCUCUUUCUCUUAAGAUGAAGGAGCUGAGGCUGGAGAAGUUAAGAGACCCCUGCUAGAUAGGAAGGCACGUGAGAAGUAUACUGCUCUGUCUCCUGUGGAGUAAAAAGACUUUGGCGUUCUCAGAAGAAAACCAAAUGAGAUCACACGAAUGAGACUGCUGGAGCAAUCUAAUGCAAAUAUCUACUACAGAUUAUCAAAAGGAAAAAAAAAGGAGGUAAGUGAAAUUUAAGUAGAUCAUAUUUCAGGAGAGAAUUCAUAAAGUAGAA
rnacentral:lncRNA from 1 species